UGGUGGCCAUGUGGAGGAGCUGGGAGAGUGGCACCCCUGGAGAGGGUGUGGAAGCUCCGUUGCCUCCACCGUCUUUUCCGCCUGCUGUUCCUGAGUUGUAUCCUUUUAUUAUAAAUCUGCAACCUAGUAGUAAACUGUUUUCCUGAGCUCCAUGAACUGCUCUAGCAAAUCACCAAAUCUGAACAGGGGCUCAGGGGAACCUCUGAUUUAUAACUAGUGGUUCAGAACCACAGGUGGCAACCUGGACUUGUGACUGGCGUCUGAAGGCAGUGGGCAUAGUGUUGUGGGACUGCCUGAGCCCUUAACUUGUGGAAUCUGAUGCUAACCUCAGGUAAAAAGUGUCAGAAUUGAAUCAAAUUAGAGGACACCCAGUCAGCAAAUGUUGAGAACUGGAUAAUUGAUGGGUGUGUGUGUGUGGGGGAAAUAAUCCCACACAUUUGGUGUCAGAAAUGUGUGAGUAUAGGAGGAAAAAGUUACUUUUCUUUCUUUUUAGGAAGGGGAAAGAGGAGGGUAGAAAAGAAUAAGGAAGAAGAAAAUACAGUGGAGAUUCCUGGCUAAAACUGGUUGGCUCAUGUUUACUCAGCUUCAUGGGUUUAGAUUCAGUUAAGGCUGACAUUGGUUUCAGAAGGACGUAUAGUUGAACCAGUUCUUGAUAAGCCUGAAUCUUUAUGUGCUGCAUGUCUGUAAGCUGCCCUCUCAAAGACCUGCUCUCCUCACGUGCUGCAGAAAGAAAAUGACGUGGACAGAGACAGAAAUGUCACAAUCUACGCUCAGCUGGUCUGGAUUAUCCAACUUCUGAGGUGUAUCUGCCGGCUGUCCCUGUAUCCCAUUAUAAAUCAUCUCCUUGUUGAACAUCAGGCCAGACUGGGGUCUGAUUCAUUGGCUGUAUGUGGCUACCUGGCUCCAGGAGGAGCCUCUGUCUCAGUCCUGUAAUAGUCAUCAUGCUUUAAGAAACCUUCACAUUUCUGAACAGUUACAUAGUGUCCUCAGCUGAAGAAAGAGGAAGUCUGGAGUCCAUUUCCGGCAGUUAGCAGGGAGCUGUUUUCCUCUCUCUGACAUUAGCAAGAUUCAGAAGGUAUGAGAUUGGACUUGGAUCUUCUUUUUCUGACAUAUGCAUUUAAUACUAUACAUUUCCCGCUAAGCACCAUUUUUACCGCAUGCCACAAGUUUUGGGUUCACUGAACUGGGACUAUCCUGGUACCUGAAAAGGAUAAACUAGAAUGUGCUCGUGUUGGGGUGGAUAAAUCCUGAAGAAAGCUCACAGUCUGACAAGUUCAACCGCAGUUGCCAAUCUCUGCAGAGCUGCUAAGCAAAGCCCUCUUGAGCUUGGGGAAAGAACUCCUGCCUUGGCCCAGACGAGCCAUGCUCUGCAACUGAUCUUCCCCCAAGCCUUUUAAUGAAGUUUGACACUUGGCAGAGGCGGGGAGCUGAGGCACAUGCUCUGAAUGAGCUCUCAUUCCUAAGAGGUUUUGGCAUCACGGGAGCAUACCUCCUGCCCUGCUCUUCCUCCAGUUGUCCACCUCCACUCUCAGGGCAGGGGCCGGGGAGGCUGCAGUUAGCUCCAUGCCAAGAAGCCACAUCAGGCCACAUCUGGCUGGAGACAUUGGCUGUCAGCACUCAUUGCCAGGGUUCCAGUCCAAGAUGCUCAGUACAAAGUCCCAGGGAUCCUUCCUAGACGAAGCACUCUAAGUUUCUUCUGUAGAGGCAGUGCUGGCUGGGCAGGUGGCAAAGCAAUCGUAUGAUGGACACAAAGUGGCAUAUAUUAUCCAGCCUUCUGGGCAUGACAUGGCAGAUUCAUGAAUUCAUGAAUUCUUUCAUUCAACAAAUGAGGAUGAAGUUCCUGCCACCACCAGAUACGCUUCUACCUGCCUGUGAGGACUGCAGCAGUCAACCGGGUUGAAAGCAGCUCGUAUCCUUAUGGAGCCUGCAUUGCUCUAGGGAGAGACAGCUGAGAAAACAUUACAUUCACGGGAUCAUUACAGCUUGCACUUUGUGUCUGAUGUGAAAAAAUGAGGGGGUCUGGGCACUGGGAAGACCCUUUCUGGGAGGGUGCUCAGGUAGACUCUUUUGAUCUGAGCCGAGAUCUGCUGUAUGAGCAGAGCACAGCCACAGAGACCAUCAGGGAAGGAGCAUUCCAGGCAGGAGAAUGACAGCGAGAGGGAAAGAGCUCCUGCCAGGGAAGGACUGGGGAGGAGGUGCUUUCUAAGCCACAUAAUACAGGAGAGUAGGUUGCGUCAUCACCAUGAUCACUGUUUGAAUGGUCCUCACCCCAUACUUUACCUGUGUGUGCUAUAGAAUGAAGCUGGCUGGAGCUGUGUGGGUCAUUGCCUUCUUCGGGCUCCCAUGGAUGAUGCCCACUUCUUUCCACGCUGCAUUCUCCUUAUGGCUUGUCUAGUCCCACUUUCCUUUUGGACUGAGAGUUCUUUGAAAGCAGGUACUCUGCCUUCUGUUUUUGUAGCACCAGCAUCUGGUAGAGCAAUUUAGCAUUGACAAGGCAUCUUGCAAAUACUUGCCAAAUGUAUGAAUAUAAGAGGCAACAUCUGCGGGAAUGUUGGAGAAUGGGAUGGCCUCAAGGUGGCCCAAGGAGGGAAAGUGGCACAAAUUCUUUUUUUGUUUUUUUUUUUGAGAUGGAGUUUUGCUCUUGCUGCCCAGUCUGGAGCACAAUGGCACGAUCUCGGCUCACUGCAACCUCCGCCUCCUGGAUUCAAGUGAUUCUGCUGCCUCAGCCUCCUGAGUAGCUGGGAUUACAGGCAUGCACCACCAGGCCCGGCUAAUUUUUGUAUUUUUAGUAGAGACGGGAUUUCAUCAUGUUGAUCAUGCUGAUCUCAAACUCCUGACCUCAGGUGAUCCACCUGCCUCGGCCUCCCAAAGUGCCGAGAUUACUGGCAUGAGCCACUGCACCCGGCAGAGUGGCACAAAUUCUUAUUGCAAAGUUACAGGCAGGGUUAAUCCCAAGGGAAUCUGCCAGUGCAUGUGUAUCUAUCACUGGGGCUCUCCGAUUUGUCUCACCUCUUCCUCUUGGCAUGGAUUAAAAGAGCCAAAGGUAUUCAUUCAGUUACUUUUUAUUCUUUCUGGUUGGGAGGAAGGAUCAUUUUCUUUAUACAGGCCGAAUGCAAUCCCAACCAAUUAAAAUAGAAGGUGUAAUAAAAUAACUGCUAAGGAGAAGUAAAAGGAAAAGGGAGAAUGAAAGAAGAAAAGCAGAGAAAGUAUAAGAGAAAUGAAUACAAAUUAUUAUCCCUUUGAUAAUAAUAUUCCUUUUACAAUAACCAAUCAUUAAUACUUCAGAAUCAUGAAUGAGACUCUCAAAAACAAGUCUCAAAUGUGGAUUGUAUCUAGGUUCCGAUUUCAUAUGGCAGUUAUCUUAUAUAUUUGAAAUGCCAAUUGAUUAUUAAAAACACAUUUCUUUAGCUUUGACUACCAUGUAAUAGACAGGUAACUAUUACAUCGUUGUUAAACCCCAGUAAAUACUACUUAUUGGAAACACAUUUCUUUCAACUCAACAAUAUGAUUGUGUAUGUAUCUAUUACAGAAAUCUUGAAACCCCAUCAAUUUGUGCCAAAAAUACAUCUCUUUUCUUUUGAAUUCACAAGGCUCAAGAUAUUGUCUCAAAUGGAGUGCUAUUAAGUCCCCAGUAACUAUCUCAGUAAUAAACGAUGACCACUGCA